rnacentral:rRNA from 1 species
UACGGAGGGUGCAAGCGUUAUCCGGAUUCACUGGGUUUAAAGGGUGCGUAGGUGGGCUAGUAAGUCCGUGGUGAAAUCUCUGAGCUUAACUCGGAAACUGCCGUGGAUACUAUUAGUCUUGAAUCUCGUGGAGGUAAGCGGAAUAUGUCAUGUAGCGGUGAGAUGCUUAGAUAUGACAUAGAACACCGAUAGCGAAGGCAGCUUGCUACACGAGUAUUGACACUGAGGCACGAAAGCGUGGGGAUCAAACAGG